GAUUCUAGACACUUUCUUCCAACCAGGUGACAUGCAGCUAAAGCAAGAGAGAGGAUGAGCAGGAAGACCCCAUGUGCUGUAUUUCCAGUGCUGACAUUGGUGUCAGCUAUGAUAAACCCCAAAAACAGAGCUGGAGACGGAAUGCCAGAGCUUUCUCCAUGGUUGAUUUGAGAAUAUGUCAGCAGUAAUGAAGGGGAGCACCUUACAAAAUCUUUGGAUAGCAACUGAAAGGAUGAGGCCAGGAAAUAAG